rnacentral:rRNA from 1 species
CCUACGGGGGGCUUCAGUGAGGAAUAUUGGUCAAUGGACGAGAGUCUGAACCAGCCAAGUAGCGUGAAGGAUGACUGCCCUAUGGGUUGUAAACUUCUUUUAUAUGGGAAUAAAAUGUUCCACGUGUGGGAUUUUGUAUGUACCAUAUGAAUAAGGAUCGGCUAACUCCGUGCCAGCAGCCGCGGUAAUACGGAGGAUCCGAGCGUUAUCCGGAUUUAUUGGGUUUAAAGGGAGCGUAGGUGGAUUGUUAAGUCAGUUGUGAAAGUUUGCGGCUCAACCGUAAAAUUGCAGUUGAAACUGGCAGUCUUGAGUACAGUAGAGGUGGGCGGAAUUCGUGGUGUAGCGGUGAAAUGCUUAGAUAUCACGAAGAACUCCGAUUGCGAAGGCAGUUCACUGGACUGCAACUGACACUGAGGCUCGAAAGUGUGGGUAUCAAACAGGAUUAGAUACCCGAGUAGUC